ensembl:lncRNA
GCCAGUCCGGAUAAAAAGAAUUACCAAUCAUACAGACAGAGGGGCUACAGUGCACCAGCCUGGAGAUUAUUCAAAACUAAACACAGAAUUUAAACAUUAAUGAAGUCAGGUAAACAUCAUACCCUUAUGUGGAGCAGCAACACUGUGCUUUUUAAUUAAAUUAUUAUUUCACUAGCCAUUGCACUGGACAUAUAGUGCUUGUUAGUUACAGAGCACAACUGAUGAAGCCUCUUUAAAGCCCAGCAGGCUCAAACUGCUACACUAGGAUGUCUUUGCCCUGACACAGUUCCAGCCAUAAGAUGAUUUGUUGACUCCAGUAUGUCAGCUCACUAACUCAGCUAAAUCCCGUUGUCUUCUUUCUCUGCUUUGUGGAUGUUUGGGUGCAUUCCUGCUAAGUCCAGCUUAUGAAAAAUCGACAGAGUCCACUCUACAAAAGUGCCAGAGGGCUUUGUUGUGAAGUCUUAUGAAGACUUUUUGUGAGUUUACAAAGCAAUGUUUUCACAUGGAAAACUAAUUAAGCUCUAAUCAGGCAAUUCAGAACCAAAGAUAUAUGAUAUGAUAUUGCUUUCUGAAAAAAGAAAUAAUAAUGAAAAGACACAAUCAGUUACUACAUAGAAAAUUUACUUUGAGACAUAGAAGUUCACGUUUUCCUUUUACUGAAAAGGUUAAGUUUAAAAAACAAGCCACAAAUUUCAUACAAAACAAAAAAUGCAGCUACAUGACUUCAGCGUUUGGUGAAAGGAACAGCAGACAUGCAUUUCUUCGUGUGAGCCAUCCUCUUCUUCCUCCCUCCUCACUCCGUUUCUGCCCUCACUCAUCUUCUCCUCGUCCCAUCCAUCCAGUAAUGUCUCCACAUCUCUCCACAGGAUUGAAUGCAGAUGGCUUGAAGCUGAUGAAAAGCGGCGUUGUGAGGCAUCCCGAGUCUCCCGUGCGCUCCUGGAGUCUCUUUACAUCUCACUGAACUCAUACAGCUAACAGGCCCUGGCAGGCAUCUGAAUAAGAAGGAGGUGCAAUCCAGCUUUCCCAGUUAGACUCUCUCUGUGAUAGCGUUGUAAACACUGGGGCUUAAUUGGGCAUGCGGCUGGUGAACAGCUUGAUUUUCAUCAUGCUUUUAUUGGCGCUCCAUGAGUUGGGAUGGGGGAGCAUGAGCAGGGCCUCACAUACAUCACAAGUGCAGUGGAAGGCAUGAAGACUGGUCUGUGCAGCCUCAGCAAGUUGAAUGUGAGCUACAUCCACAUUAAGCAACUUCUCUACAGCUUGUCAGACUGAAAGUUAAAGGGGAGGAGGACAAGAGGAAACUCGAGAAAACAAUUACUGGAAUGUCGACCUGGAUAAAGAAACUUCCGCUUUCCUCGAGAUCAGAAUCCUCAUAUUGAAAGCCUCCUCUAACCAAGUGACCUCUUGGUUGUGUGGAUUUGUUUAAAUGGGCCUUGGCCUUCUCCAAAGGAACACUUUAAAGCAGAAAGCAUCUGUGACGUUUGCUUCUGGUGUUUCCAUUUAACACAGAGAGUACAGCCUUCGUUGGAUAGACGAGAGUCUCAGGGAAACUAUUUCAUUUUGGGCAGUUUUUUAACCUUAAUCCAACCACCCAAAGGGCUCAGAGGGACAUUGUAUUUUUAUCAUUUUAGUACCCCAGCAUCCUAACAUGCACAUUUGCUGUCUCACAACUAUUUCAACUCUCUAAAGGAUUUAGCAAAACUUUUCCAACAGUGAGAUAGUCUCAUUUAAAGGGCUUACACGCCGGUAUCCUAAGCCAUGGAUGGGAAAACUGACAGCAUUCAGGAUUUUUUCAACCAACUGUGGCACUUUGCUUCAGAAAAACACAACCAGGGGGCCUAUAACACAGUCUGCCUGGUGGUCCUCCUGACGCUUCCCCUGCUCGUCCUCCUCACAACAGUGGUGGUGUGCUGCCACUGCUGUUGCUGUCGUCAUGCCAACAGCUGCUGUUGUUGCUGCUGCGGCGACGCCGUGUCGUCUUCAAGGUCAGAAACAAAGAAGAAAUAUAAUUCUGCCAAUACCGAAGACUUGUGGAUCUCGGUCAAGCCCGGGCCGAUGACGCCCGACCGGGUCGCUCUGGCCAUGGAGUAAAUAUCCCUUUUUUGACCUGAGAUUGCUGACGAGUUUAUGGAAAGGAGCUGAUGGAGCAUCCCGAAAAGCAUAAACCGUGGAUGCUCUUGGACUCCGUGGAUAUUCAAACAAAAAGGAUGAACUUCACCUAGUAGUGGGCACAGAUGUGUUUGAAAUAUGUAAACAGUGUAUAUAUUGUUGUCACUUUGCAUUCAUAAGAUGUCGUGCGGUGGUUUUAUGACAAUGUUUACAGCAUUUUUAUGAGCAUUUUUUUUAGUGUUUGGUACAUAAAGGAAGAAAUAUGAAGACAGAAGCACAUAUAUAACUGCAAGUGUGUGUGUGUGUGUGUGUGUGUGUGUGUGUGUGUGUGUGUAAGAGAAGCACAGUGUUAUUGAGAGCACUUUGUUCUUAGAGCUCCCAUGUGAAAUUCAGUGCGUGUGUAUUUGGGAGAGAGAGCCAAUUUAGGGUCUGCCCAGUGCUCAGAAAGCUGUAUUACUCACAUUCAGGCUGCAAUGCAGACUGUGAUUGACUCUCAAUUUCUAAAUCAAAAGGCACUGUCAUCUAAAAAGCUGAACUCACUGCCUACAGAACUUUCUUCAUUCCAACAUUUUUUCCCCCAUUUCUUGAAGAUGUUACAGCAUUGUCACAGGAGUGGAACUUCACUUUCAUCGGGUUUUUUUGUGUUUCUCUUUACACUAUUACACUAUUCAGGGCCAAGCAAGCAUUAAAAAAGACCAUUUGUAAAAGAUAAAGUGAGAACCCCCCCAAAGGACAAACAAACAACACUGGAAACUAGAAACUAGAUACUCAUACCAAUGGAGGUGUUAGCAAUAAUGAAUAGCCAUGUAUUUAUGGAAAUUUUGAACAUCUAUUCCUCUAAAACGUAUGAAUACGACUGAAAGAGGUGGCGUAAGUUGGUUUAGAGCAGAUCCAUAUGCACUUUUAUUCUGUUUUGAAGUCAUCACACAGAAAAUUUGGAAGGAGGACCAACAACACACUUAAGCCCCAAUGCCUAACCCCAAAUGCGAUCUCCUGCCUUUUGCCCCUAUAUCUGGGGGCGUUGGGGCUUAAGAGGUUAUACUGGCAUUAAGUUUGUUUGUAAUCACUUUUGGCUAACUUCCUAGCACAGAUGUGGACAAUUUUAGAUUGUCAAAAGUGUGUUUAAUUAAAACAAAUCACUGUCUAAGCAUACAUCUUUGUAUACUUCAUCAUGCUGAGAGCUUCCCCUACACUUGUGAUUGUGCCUUAUAACUGCAAAAUCCAUUUUACGUGCAUUUCUUUAAAAAGUUUGAUGAGUGCUUACAUGGAUACUGCUGGUAAACAUUAUUUGCCAGCAGUAUUUUAUUGCCAUUCUGUUGAGAUACAAACAUAAUGCUGAUUAAUUUGAUCAAGUCCUCACUAUUCACAUGUAUACAACGUUUUUAGAAACGGGUUUGAACAGUAUUCAAAGUAUUUUUUUGUUUUAGCUUAAUUAAAUUCACAUACUUUUCAAAAAUUCCAGUAAAAAGAAACUGAAAUAAUCAAACGAUUUGGGCUUCGAGUGGAUUGUGCCUGAAGGCUCCUUGUUUUGAAAGUGUACGACAUCUCAAGGCCCAAUUAAGCAGAGUCGUCUCAGCAGUAUCAUCAUCUUUAUGCAUUAGCUUAUUUUGGUACUAAGUUGAUCUUCUUGCUCAAGUGCUGCUGGGAAAACCGGCCCCACUCAUUUCAUUACUGCUCAGACAGAUACAUCCCCAUGUGGAAAUUUGGGUUUGUCUCUUCUGCUUUAUGUUCGCAGAGAGAAACUGUACAUGUUGAGCUUAAUUUGAAAGCUUGCCUUGCAAAACACAGGCAACGUAUGAUGACUAAUAAUUGCAAGAGUGAGACAUUUAACAAGAAAACACACUGCCAUGUUCGGGGUUUUUUUGCUGAGCACGUCAUUGUGGUUUGCGUUUGUCAAAGUAAAAUUGACAGGUUUUACUGGUUAUUAAAUGCUGACUGUGGCAGGCUUUUUACAACAUAAAUAAAAAUGUAUAAUGAUGUGAAAGACUGAAAAAAUUAAAGGAAUAGUUUGACA